AUUGAACGCUGGCGGCAUGCCUUACACAUGCAAGUCGAACGGCAGCACGGGAGCAGUCCUGGUGGCGAGUGGCGAACGGGUGAGUAAAGUAUCGGAACGUGCCCAGUCGUGGGGGAUAACGUAGCGAAAGUUACGCUAAUACCGCAUACGAUCUAUGAAUGAAAGCGGGGGAUCGCAAGACCUCGCGCGAUUGGAGCGGCCGAUAUCAGAUUAGGUAGUUGGGGGGGUAAAGGCUCACCAAGCCGACGAUCUGUAGCUGGUCUGAGAGGGACGACCAGCCACACUGGGACUGAGACACGGCCCAGACUCCUACGGGAGGCAGCAGUGGGGAAUUUUGGACAAUGGGCGAAAGCCUGAUCCAGCCAUGCCGCGUGCAGGAUGAAGGCCUUCGGGUUGUAAACUGCUUUUGUACGGAACGAAAAGGUUUGGCCUAAUAAGCUGAGCUCAUGACGGUACCGUAAGAAUAAGCACCGGCUAACUACGUGCCAGCCGCCGCGGUAA
rnacentral:rRNA from 1 species